GACGAACGCUGGCGGCGUGCUUAACACAUGCAAGUCGAGCGGUAAGGCCCUUUCGGGGGUACGACGAGCGGCGAACGGGUGAGUAACACGUGGGUGACCUGCCCUCAGCUCUGGGAUAAGCCUGGGAAACUGGGUCUAAUACCCGGAUAUGACUCCAUGACGCAUGUUGUGGGGUGGAAAGCCUUGUGCGGCUGAGGAUGGGCCCGCGGCCUAUCAGCUUGUUGGUGGGGUGAGGCCUACCAAGGCGACGACGGGUAGCCGGCCUGAGAGGGCGACCGGCCACACUGGGACUGAGACACGGCCCAGACUCCUACGGGAGGCAGCAGUGGGGAAUCUUGCGCAAUGGGCGAAAGCCUGACGCAGCGACGCCGCGUGAGGGAUGAC
rnacentral:rRNA from 1 species